rnacentral:pre_miRNA from 1 species
UGAUGAUGAUGAUAAUGAUGUCGAUGAUGAUGAUGAUGAUGAUGAUGAUUAUGAUGAUCAUCAUCAUCAUCAUUAUCAUCAUAUUUAUUAUCAUUU